UCUUUUAUAAUUAUAAGUUUUUUGGUAAUAUACUAUUAUAACAGAAAGUACAUGCAUGCAUGAUAACCAGCAAUUCCGUAUGCUGUGCAUUAUUUUUUUUUGGACAAUUGAAGCUUCUUUGUGCAUUACUUCACUGAGUAUAUAUUAAAUCAUUUGAGUCUCAGCCAAAAUUAUGCCUAUUGGGUUUUUGUUGCGAACAAAAUUAAAUGCAAUUCUUUAGGUGUUUUUGGUGCUAUUCCUCAAUCAGAAUUAGAGUUUCAUCUUGGUAUUACACAGAUUACCAAGAUGAAGCUGUAAUUCUGAUUGCAGAAAAACACACCUUAGGAAUUGCAUUUGCAUAUUAUAUUUGUCCUUUCAUUUUUGGUCUCAUUGUUUCAGUUAUGCAAACUUAAUCUUAUAAGGAACUCAUUGAGGAAUAUCGUGUGAUUUAAAUUGGAUUAUAUGGUUGCAGUUGACUGCAUUGACUGUGCUGCUGAUGCAUCGUUUGUUAGUGCUGUGAAUGAAGGAAUUGAAGCUGCUAAAGAUAUUGUAUGCCUUAGAAGGCCCUGGGUGAUGAUCAGUGUCAAUGAUGAUAAAGAUCUUCAUUUUCGUAAGGCCGAAUUUGAUCCAGAGGACUGUCCAGCAGACUGUUCACGACCUUGUGAAAAUGUGUGCCCUGCAAAUGCCAUAACAUUCCAAGGGAAAUCUACUUCAGGAAUUUCACAUAAUACUGAAGCACCUAGAGUACUGAAGGACGGAGUCAUAACAGAAAGCUGCUAUGGUUGUGGUCGCUGUCUUCCGGUUUGCCCCUACAAUAAAAUAAGAGAGGUAACAUAUGCAAGAGAUGCUAUUACAACUGCUGCUCUCAUCAAGAGAAAUUGUGUUGAUGCUAUGGAGAUACAUACAAGUGGGAGUGAUUCUUCUAUAGACAGCAAAGAACUCUGGAGUGCUCUAGGAGAUUCAGUAGUAUAUUUGAAGCUUAUAGCUUUGGAUGGUUGUCCAAUGAGUGGAGAUAUUUGGAGAGGAGCAACUAAGUAAUCUAUUGCCUUUGCUGUUCAAUUGUCUAAAGCAAAAGAAAGACCUCCUAGUUUGUAUUUCUAGCUCAAUUUAUGGUCCCUAAAAAACCUUCAAGAUUUACAUAUAUCCUAAUUCUGUUAAUGUUUAUGUCCCCUAAUAUGGUAGGUUUUCUUCACACAAUUGAUGGGCUGAAAAAAGAGGGACUCUUCCAAACAACUACUGAUUGUUGGUAGAGUAUUGGGAUCCAUGCAAUUGAGGAUCAUCCCGAGCAUCUCUUGAUGGCUCUUAAGGAAGCACUUGCAUUGUUGGGGCCUAUUAAAUGUCUAUGAUCGAUGACAACUUCACAAUCAACUUUGUGAUAGAUAGUUGUAUUUGAAAGUGUAAGCAUGUAAAGGAAGAAUGGAAACUUGUUAGUAACAUAGCAAUCAAGCUAAAUGUUACUUUUAAUCUAUUUUUUUUUAUUAACUUUUAAAAGUUUUAUUUUCAUUA